UACGAAGGGGGGCUAGCGUUGCUCGGAAUCACUGGGCGUAAAGGGUGCGUAGGCGGGUCUUUUAAGUCAGGGGUGAAAUCCUGGAGCUCAACUCCAGAACUGCCUUUGAUACUGAGGAUCUUUGAGUUCGGGAGAGGUGAGUGGAACUGCGAGUGUAGAGGUGAAAUUCGUAGAAUAUUCGGAAGAACACCAGUGGCGAAGGCGGCUCACUCG
rnacentral:rRNA from 1 species